UACGUAGGGAGCGAGCGUUGUCCGGAAUUACUGGGCGUAAAGGGUGCGUAGGCGGCGAAGCAAGUCAGAUGUGAAAUCCCCGGGCUUAACUCGGGGGGUGCAUUUGAAACUGCAUUGCUUGAGUGCAGGAGAGGAAAGCGGAAUUCCUAGUGUAGCGGUGAAAUGCGUAGAUAUUAGGAAGAACACCAGUGGCGAAGGCGGCUUUCUGGUCUGUCACUGACGCUGAGGCGCGAAAGCGUGGGGAGCAAACAGG
rnacentral:rRNA from 1 species